rnacentral:tRNA from 1 species
GCCCGCGUAGCUCAGUGGAUUAGAGCACUGGUCUUCGGAACCAGGGGUCACAGGUUCAAAUCCUGUCGCGGGCACCA